AGUCCCGGCCAAUACUCGUGCCAGCAGCCGCGGUAAUACGGGAGGGGCGAGCGUUAUUCAACGUAACUGGGCGUAAAGGGUCCGUAGACUGUAAAAUAAGUUACUUGUUAAAUCUUAAAGCCCAACUUUAAACAAGCUUGUAAUACUGUUUUACUUGAGUUUUAUACAGAAAAGUAGAAUUUUAUACGUAAGGGUAAAAUCUAAAGAUAUAUAAAGGAAUACCAGUAGCGAAGGCGACUUUUUAGUAAAAACUGACGUUGAGGGACGAAAGUGUGGGUAGCAAAUAGGAUUCGAUACCCUCGUAGUCCAUACUGUAAACUCUGAGUGCUGUAAUUUAAUGUGAACAUAGAUGGAAUUAACUCUUUGUGAGGUAGAAUCUUCAAAUAGUUCAUUUAGAUUUUAAAGCUAACGCCGUAAGCACUCCGCCUGAGGAGUACGACCGCAAGGUUGGAACUCAAAGGAAUUGACGGGGGCUAAUACUAGUGGUGGAGCAUGUGGUUUAAUACGAUACUCCGCGCAAAACCUUACCAAUCUUUGACAUGAAAAUCGAAUUUGACAUUGCGCUUUGUAAUGUCAAUAGGAUAUUUACACAGGUGUUGCACGGCUGUCGUCAGCUCGUGUCGUGAGAUGUUUGGUUAAGUCCU
rnacentral:rRNA from 1 species